UGCCUUGUUUCAGCCCUUAUCGUUUUAACAGUACCACUGGAACUUGCGAAUUGAACUUGAUUGGAUUGUUACUGUCAUUUAGAGUUUUAAAUAAUAGAUUAGGAGCCGUUGUUGCAGAAAAAACACGCAAGAACAAUGAGAUUAUUUUUCAAGGAGUGAUUAAUGCGGGCAAAGUUUUUGCGGGAUUUGCAAGCGUGUGUUUAUUUUUAGGAUGCUUUUAUUGUUAUUGGGUGCAAUAUUCGAAUCAUCAAUUGAGGAGAAGCUUGAAAUUAAUAGAAAAAGAGAUGCAAGUACAACAAAAAGACAGAAAUAAGCAUAAAGAUGGAAGAAAAGAAAAUAAAGAAAGUGGAAAAAUAGCCAGAUGUAAAACCAUGCCCGAAGAAGUCCAAAUCUCCAUUGUUUA